CAAGUAUGCUGCAAGUACAGCCCGUCUUAAUUGAUGGAGCCACUUACUGAGUCUCUAAAUUAAAAUAUUCGAUUUGAGCUGCAUGACAUCUAAGGAUCAGCCUGACCUCUCUCUGGAGCUCAGGGGUGGUGACAUCAGAAUACAGCAGGCAGUGGGGAUGCAUCCGUGGGGUCUCCUCAAUGACAGAAGUGAUAGAUGGGG
rnacentral:lncRNA from 1 species